rnacentral:rRNA from 1 species
GACGUAGGGGGCCAGCGUUGCUCGGAAUUACUGGGCGUAAAGGGUUCGUAGGCGGUGCGGCAAGUUGGGAGUGAAAUCUCUGGGCUUAACCCAGAGGCUGCUUCCAAAACUGCCGUGCUAGAGUGCGAGAGAGGCCAGUGGAAUUGCAGGUGUAGCGGUGAAAUGCGUAGAUAUCUGCAGGAACACCCGUGGCGAAGGCGGCUGGCUGGAUCGCAACUGCCGCUGAGGAGCGAAAGCUAGGGGCGCAAUCAGU